rnacentral:rRNA from 1 species
UAGGGAAUCUUCGGCAAUGGGGGGAACCCUGACCGAGCAACGCCGCGUGAGUGAAGAAGGUUUUCGGAUCGUAAAGCUCUGUUGUUAAGGAAGAACGAGUGUGAGAAUGGAAAGUUCAUACUGUGACGGUACUUAACCAGAAAGGGACGGCUAACUACGUGCCAGCAGCCGCGGUAAUACGUAGGUCCCGAGCGUUGUCCGGAUUUAUUGGGCGUAAAGCGAGCGCAGGCGGUUAGAAAAGUCUGAAGUGAAAGGCAGUGGCUCAACCAUUGUAGGCUUUGGAAAAUGUUUAACUUGAGUGCAGAAGGGGAGGGUGGAAUUCCAUGUGUAGCGGUGAAAUGCGUAGAUAUAUGGAGGAACACCGGUGGCGAAAGCGGCUCUCUGGUCUGUAACUGACGCUGAGGCUCGAAAGCGUGGGGAGCGAACAGG